GAUGAACGCUAGCUACCGGUUUAACACAUGCAAGUCGAGGGGCAUCAGGAAGAAAGCUUCCUUUCUUUGCUGGCGACCGGCGCACGGGUGAGUAACACGUAUCCAACCUGCCCUUUACUCGGGGAUAGCCUUUCGAAAGAAAGAUUAAUACCCGAUGGCAUAAUGAUUCCGCAUGGUUUCAUUAUUAAAGGAUUCCGGUAAAGGAUGGGGAUGCGUUCCAUUAGGUUGUUGGUGAGGUAACGGCUCACCAAGCCUUCGAUGGAUAGGGGUUCUGAGAGGAAGGUCCCCCACAUUGGAACUGAGACACGGUCCAAACUCCUACGGGAGGCAGCAGUGAGGAAUAUUGGUCAAUGGGCGCUAGCCUGAACCAGCCAAGUAGCGUGAAGGAUGAAGGCUCUAUGGGUCGUAAACUUCUUUUAUAUAAGAAUAAAGUGCAGUAUGUAUACUGUUUUGUAUGUAUUAUAUGAAUAAGGAUCGGCUAACUCCGUGCCAGCAGCCGCGGUAAUACGGAGGAUCCGAGCGUUAUCCGGAUUUAUUGGGUUUAAAGGGAGCGUAGGUGGACUGGUAAGUCAGUUGUGAAAGUUUGCGGCUCAACCGUAAAAUUGCAGUUGAUACUGUCAGUCUUGAGUACAGUAGAGGUGGGCGGAAUUCGUGGUGUAGCGGUGAAAUGCUUAGAUAUCACGAAGAACUCCGAUUGCGAAGGCAGCUCACUGGACUGCAACUGACACUGAUGCUCGAAAGUGUGGGUAUCAAACAGG
rnacentral:rRNA from 1 species